CUUCCAGGUUUAACAGUUAAGUUCAAUACAGAUAAAAUACGCCAAAUGUGACAGAUAAGAGUAAUAUGACAUUUCUCUAUCGCUAUGCCGAUAUGAAUACCGCAUGUGAUGCAACACAACGAAAACCUCACGUGCUCACACUCUCAGAGCACUCAAUUCGACUGUCUCAAUUUUCGCUCGUCACACUCAGUCACUCAACAUUGUACGGUGCUUGUUGCUGCGUGCAGCCCAAUCUACAUAUAGUCAUAAGGACUGAUGCGAUGCGUAAUGCGAUCCACAUAUAGCUAUAAGACUUGUUGUGG
rnacentral:lncRNA from 1 species